GAUGAACGCUGGCGGCGUGCCUAAUACAUGCAAGUCGAGCGAACAGACGAGGAGCUUGCUCCUCUGACGUUAGCGGCGGACGGGUGAGUAACACGUGGAUAACCUACCUAUAAGACUGGGAUAACUUCGGGAAACCGGAGCUAAUACCGGAUAAUAUAUUUAACCGCAUGGUUCAAUAGUGAAAGACGGUUUUGCUGUCACUUAUAGAUGGAUCCGCGCAGCAUUAGCUAGUUGGUAAGGUAACGGCUUACCAAGGCAACGAUGCGUAGCCGACCUGAGAGGGUGAUCGGCCACAGUGGAACUGAGAAACGGUCCAGACUACAACGGGAGGCAGAAGAAGGGAAUCUUCCGCAAUGGGCGAAAGCCUGACGGAGCAACGCAGCGUGAGUGAUGAAGGUCUUCGGAUCGUAAAACUCUGUUAUUAGGGAAGAACAAAUGUGUAAGUAACUAUGCACGUCUUGACGGUACCAAAUCAGAAAGCCACGGCUAACUACGU
rnacentral:rRNA from 1 species